rnacentral:lncRNA from 1 species
UAGACGAAGAGAGAUCCUGACAUCCCGGACAAUGAUCAUCUUUAAAAAGGAAUUCGUGAUCCUUAUUUUAAAUAGUGAAAUAAGCAAAUUGCAAACAAUCAAAUUGUAACUAUGAUGGUAGUGAUAAUUAUAGACUAUUUUUCUAGAAGAUUUAUGGUGUUUGAGUCACAAAUGAAAGUAAAUCUGGUAUAAAUAAUUAUAAUGUCUUGCAGUGAAAGAUCAAAGAUAUUCCGUAGUGUAUAAAGCAUUACUAUCAUUAUAGCUG